UACGGAGGGUGCAAGCGUUGUCCGGAUUUAUUGGGUUUAAAGGGUGCGUAGGUGGCCUUAUAAGUCAGCGGUGAAAGUCUGCAGCUUAACUGUAGAACUGCCAUUGAUACUGUAAGGCCUGAGUACUGAUGAGGUAGGCGGAAUUGACGGUGUAGCGGUGAAAUGCAUAGAUAUCGUCAAGAACACCGAUAGCGAAGGCAGCUUACUGGGCUGUAACUGACGCUGAUGCACGAAAGUGUGGGGAUCAAACAGG
rnacentral:rRNA from 1 species